GUGAAUCAUCGAAUCUUUGAACGCACAUUGCGCCUCCCAUAACCGGGGGGCAUGCCUGUCUGAGCGUCAUUUAAACCUAUGGGCCCGAUUGGGUUCCGUGUUGGGCCUCGCCCCUCUCCAAGUGGCGUCGCCUCAAAGGAAUCGGCUUCAUGGAGCGGAUGGGAUCCUUCUGGACUGGCCGUUCCAUGGCUGGAGUUCGACUCUGAAUUGACCUCAGAUCAGGUAGGGACACCGCCUGAACUUAAGCAUAUCAAUAAGCGGAGGA
rnacentral:misc_RNA from 1 species